rnacentral:misc_RNA from 1 species
AAAAAAAAAAAAGAAAACUAAUAGAAGAAGAAACAGCUCUUGAUUCUUCACAAUGCUGACUGGAAAAUCAUCUCAGCAAGUUCCUGCUUGCCAGAAGGAACCUUUGGCUCUCCCCAUUCCAAGGCCUUCUUCUCCAGAUAUUCAAAAUCAGCCUUACCAGCCUCUAUUAGUGCACCAAUCUCGGUGUCAAAACUCUGGUAUCUCUUCCGAACAAGCUCAGCUAAAGAACCAUCCUCGAUUAGCUUAGCAACAUUUCGAAGCCCACGGGCAAGGGUAUCCAUUCCACUAAUGUGAGCGAUAAACAAAUCUUCAACAUCUG